UACGUAGGGUGCAAGCGUUAAUCGGAAUUACUGGGCGUAAAGCGUGCGCAGGCGGUUGUGCAAGACAGAUGUGAAAUCCCCGGGCUCAACCUGGGAAUUGCAUUUGUGACCGCACGGCUAGAGUGUGUCAGAGGGGGGUAGAAUUCCACGUGUAGCAGUGAAAUGCGUAGAGAUGUGGAGGAAUACCGAUGGCGAAGGCAGCCCCCUGGGAUAACACUGACGCUCAUGCACGAAAGCGUGGGGAGCAAACAGG
rnacentral:rRNA from 1 species